CACCGGCAGCUCUAGUGGUAACAAUUUUUAUUGGGCCUAAAGCGUCCGUAGCCGGUUUAAUAAGUCUCUGGUGAAAUCCUGUAGCUUAACUGUGGGAAUUGCUGGAGAUACUAUUAGACUUGAGACCGGGAGAGGUUAGAGGUACUCCCAGGGUAGAGGUGAAAUUCUGUAAUCCUGGGAGGACCGCCUGUUGCGAAGGCGUCUAACUGGAACGGUUCUGACGGUGAGGGACGAAAGUUAGGGGCGCGAACCGGAUUAGAUACCCGGGUAGUCC
rnacentral:rRNA from 1 species